rnacentral:rRNA from 1 species
GCUGCUAAGCUAGCAGGUGGAUGGCUUGGCUUGGGACGCUGAAGAAGGGCGUAGCAAGCUGCGAUAAGCCCGGGGUAGGCGCACGCAGCCUUUGAACCCGGGAUGCCCGAAUGGGAUCUCCUGCUACCUUCGGGUAGCGUUCCCACUAGGGAACGGGAACGCCGGGAAUUGAAACAUCUUAGUACCGGCAGGAAAAGAAAUCAAUUGAGAUUCCGUGAGUAGGGGCGACCGAAAGCGGAACAGGGCAAACCGAACGUUGCUCCGUAAGGAGUAACGGAUGUGGGGUUGUGGGACUGCCAUACGCGUCCAUGAUUUCUAGCCGAAGUGUGCUGGAAAGCACUGCCAAAGAGGGUGAUAGCCCCGUAGGCAAAAGGAAUCAUGGAUGCAGGCAGUAUCCCGAGUACCUGGGGUUGAGAUUCCCUAGGGAAUCUGGGGGACAGUAGCCUCCAACCCUAAAUACGUCCCAAGACCGAUAGCGAACAAGUACCGUGAGGGAAAGCUGAAAAGUAUCCCAGAUAGGGAGGUGAAAAGAGCCUGAAACCUGCUAGUUACAGGGAGCUGCGGCCUGAAAGCGCAAGCAGGGUUGCAGCGUGCUGUGUGGAUACGGUGCCAGGGAGUUGACCUAAGUGGCGAGGCUAAGGACGAUAAGUCCGGAGCCAAAGGGAAACCGACAAGCCCGCAGUUCUUCUGAACGAGGGGCGGCGUGCGAAAGUGCGCGGAGUCACUUGGGUCAGACCCGAAGCCAGGUGAUCUAUCCCUGGGCAGGGUGAAGCGGGGCUAACGCCUCGUGGAGGCCCGAACAGGUGCUGCCCUUUCAAUGCGCUCUGUUGACCUGGGGAUAGGGGUGAAAGGCCAAUCAAACCUGGCGAUAGCUGGUUCCCCCCGAAGCGGCCCGUAGGCCUGCCUUGCCUGAGAAUGUGCCGGCCGUAGAGAGACUGAUUGGGUGUGCAGGAGGGGAAACCCUUCGGCACCCUGUCAAACUCCGAAGACCGGUACUUCGUAGACGGCAGGAGUUGGGGCAUCGGGGUAAGCUCGGUGUCCUAAAGGGGAACAACCCAGACUAGAGUUAAGGCCCAAAAGUGCUGGCUAAGUGGCGAACCGUGUCUUAACCCUCAGACAGCUGGGAGGUAGGCUUAGAAGCAGCCAUCCUUUAAAAAGUGCGUAACAGCUUACCAGCCGAGGGUUAGGGCCGGGAAAAUGGACUGGGCUAAGCCAGCCGCCGAAACUCUAGAUCACAGUAGUAGUACUACUGUGGUGGUAGGGGGGCGACCUGCCUGGGCAGAAGCUGGGCGGUGACGUCCAGUGGACCGGGUAGGUUUGAGUAUCCUGGCGGGAGUAGCAGCAAAGAGGGGUGAGAAUCCCCUCCGCCGAAAGGGCCAGGGUUCCUCGGCCACGUUCAUCAGCCGAGGGUUAGCCGGUCCUAAGGCCUGCUUUAACAUGGCAGUGCCGAAAGGGAAACCCGUUAAUAUUCGGGUGCCACCCAGGUACGCGCGGCAACGCUAGGCCUUUCUGCUGACGCUUUGGGGUAGGCCGAGUAGAGCCAUCGCUCUAUCUAACCAGUGCAGGUCCGGGGAGAGUCGUAAUGACGAGAACCGGAGCAACACUGGGAUGGGCCUCUUGUAUGAGGGGUUCGGCCGAUCCCUGGAGCCCCUGAAAAGGCAGAAAGGAAGGAUCCUGGGUGACCGUACCGAGAACCGUUACAGGUGCCCUGGCUGAGAAGGCUAAGGUGUGAGGGGGAUAACCGCAGGCAAGGGAAUUCAGCAAACUGGCCCCGUAACUUUGGGAGAUGGGGUCCCUGUGAAGGUGGUCCUUGAGGCUGCUUUCGCAGGGUGCAAUGACUAGGGGGGUCCGACUGUUUAACAAAAACAUAGCUGGCUGCAAGCCCGAAAGGGUUAGUACAGCCGGCGACGCCUGCCCAGUGCCAGUACCUGAAAUCCGGGUUCAACCGGACCAAGGGCUGGUAAACGGCGGAGGUAACCGUAACCUUCUUAAGCAAGCGCAAUGCCUUGCCGAUUAAUUGUCGGCUUUGCGAACGGCGUAACGAGACCCCCGCUGUCCCUGCUGCGGACCCCGUGAAACCACUGCUCGGUGCAUAUGCCGAGGACUCCCAGUGGGUCGGAAAGACCCCAGGAACUUUACUGCAGCCUGGUGUUGCAGUACGGGUUGGAGCGUAUAGCGUAGGUAGGAGGCUUCGAAGCUUUUCCGCCAGGAAAAGUGGAGCCGACCAUGUAACACUACCCACUCUAAUCUGUACUGCUAACCCGAAAGGGGACAGCACUUGGUGGGCAGUUUGGCUGGGGUGGCACGCCGGCGAAAAGAUAUCACCGGCGCCCAAAGGUCAGCUCACCGGGGUCAGAAAUCCCGGGUAGAGUGCAAGGGCAAAAGCUGGCUUGACUGCUUUCCCGAAAGAAAGGAAAGCAGAGGCGAAAGCCGGGCCUAGCGAACCCACGUGUGCCUCCUACUGAGGCCCGUGGAUGACAGAAAAGCUACCCUGGGGGUAAUAGAGUCGUCUCCCCCGAUAGUUCACAUUGACGGGGAGGCUUGCUUCGCAGUUGUCGGCUCUUCCCAUCCUGGCCGUGCAUAAGCGGCCAAGGGUACGGGUGUUCACCGGUUAAAGGGGAUCGUGAGCUGGGUUCAGUACGCCGCGAGGCAGUACGGAUUUAAACUACUGGGAGCGUUCGGUGCCUGAGUGGAAGGGAUGCCCAGUACGCGAGGAACAGCGUCCCGGCGCCUCUGGUGACCAGCUGUCCGACAGGGCAGGCUGGGUAGCUACGCGCUAAGGGAUAAGGGCUGAAAGCAUCUAAGCCCGAAGCCCACCGCAAGACGAGGCACCGUUAAGGCCGCGGGUAGAAGACCCGUUUGAUAGAGCAGGAGUGUAAGCGCCAAGGCAACGAGGCGUUUAGCUCACUGCUACUAAAGGCCAAACCU